rnacentral:rRNA from 1 species
UCUCCGUUGGUGAACCAGCGGAGGGAUCAUUACCGAGUUUACAACUCCCAAACCCCUGUGAACAUACCAAUUGUUGCCUCGGCGGAUCAGCCCGCUCCCGGUAAAACGGGACGGCCCGCCAGAGGACCCCUAAACUCUGUUUCUAUAUGUAACUUCUGAGUAAAACCAUAAAUAAAUCAAAACUUUCAACAACGGAUCUCUUGGUUCUGGCAUCGAUGAAGAACGCAGCAAAAUGCGAUAAGUAAUGUGAAUUGCAGAAUUCAGUGAAUCAUCGAAUCUUUGAACGCACAUUGCGCCCGCCAGUAUUCUGGCGGGCAUGCCUGUUCGAGCGUCAUUUCAACCCUCAAGCCCAGCUUGGUGUUGGGACUCGCGAGUUAAAUCGCGUUCCCCAAAUUGAUUGGCGGUCACGUCGAGCUUCCAUAGCGUAGUAGUAAAACCCUCGUUACUGGUAAUCGUCGCGGCCACGCCGUUAAACCCCAACUUCUGAAUGUUGACCUCGGAUCAGGUAGGAAUACCCGCUGAACUUAAGCAUAUCAA